rnacentral:rRNA from 1 species
UACGUAAGGGGCAAGCGUUAUCCGGAUUUACUGGGUGUAAAGGGAGCGUAGACGGCAUGGCAAGUCAGAUGUGAAAGCCCGGGGCUCAACCCCGGGACUGCAUUUGAAACUGUCAGGCUGGAGUGCAGGAGAGGUAAGUGGAAUUCCUAGUGUAGCGGUGAAAUGCGUAGAUAUUAGGAGGAACACCAGUGGCGAAGGCGGCUUACUGGACUGUAACUGACGUUGAGGCUCGAAAGCGUGGGGAGCAAACAGG